ensembl:lncRNA
GGCGGCAGGGUAGUCUAGUGGUUAGAGUGUAGAGGCGGCAGGGUAGUCUAGUGGUUAGAGUGUAGAGGGGGCAGGGUAGCCUAGUGGUUAGAGUGUAGAGGCGGCAGGAUAGCCUAGUGGUUAGAGUGUAGAGGCGGCAGGGUAGCCUAGUGGUUAGAGUGUAGAGGCGGCAGGGUAGCCUAGUGGUUAGAGUGUAGAGGCGGCAGGUAGCCUAGUGGUUAGAGUGUAGAGGCGGCAGGGUAGCCUAGUGGUUAGAGUGUAGAGGCGGCAGGUAGCCUAGUGGUUAGAGUGUAGAGGCGGCAGGGUAGCCUAGUGGUUAGAGUGUAGAGGCGGCAGGUUAGCCUAGUGGUUAGAGUGUAGAGGCAGCAGGGUAGUCUAGUGGUUAGAGUGUAGAGGGGGCAGGGUAGCCUAGUGGUUAGAGUGUAGAGGCGGCAGGGUAGCCUAGUGGUUAGAGUGUAGAGGGGGCAGGGUAGCCUAGUGGUUAGAGUGUAGAGGCGGCAGGUAGCCUAGUGGUUAGAGUGUAGAGGCGGCAGGGUAGCCUAGUGGUUAGAGUGUAGAGGCGGCAGGGUAGCCUAGUGGUUAAAGUGUAGAGGCGGC